GCGCUGAGUCUCUGGAGCUAACUUCACAGACGUAUGAUAUUGUAAAUGUGCAAACUAAUUCUAAUAGAUUUUCCUCAUAUUCAUCUCUAACUGAAUCAAAUUCCAAGUAUAGAACAUAUAAACCAAUAGAAUGGACUGUGCAGUCUAUUAUGAGCUUGAUGUAUUCAACUAAUGAUUGUCAUUAUAUUUUGACUGAUGCAAAAGUAAACCAUGAACAUUUAUCUAAUGAUGCUCAAAAUACACUUACGAGACUUAAUAAAUUAUUUAUUUAAAGACAAAGAUCGGGGAACUGAUUUUUAAUUUCGGAAAAUUUCUUCAACUAUCAUUUAAAUAUUUCCAAAAAAACAAGAUAAAGUAUAUUAUAUACUAUCAAGUGAAAAUAAUUCCAUGCAAAAGAAAAAUUAGUGAAACAUUGACUAAAUUGUGUACCCCAGUUUCGGAGCAUAGGUGCUAUUGAAAUUAAACAAAAAAAUAAAAACUUCUCUGAAACAUUACCAAUUUUAACAUUUUCUGGUAGUAAUAUUAUCAAACAUUUAUGUUUUAUAUUCAUGCUAAUACAUCCAAUUCAUUUAUUUAUUUAAUAUAAAUAUAAAAUAGAUGAAGCUGAAUCAGCAAAAGUUUGGUUAAGCACAAUUGGGUUUUUUCUAACUUUGAUGAGAUUAAAAAACACUGGAAAUAAGAAUGGCUGAAAUUCUAGGUUUAAAUAGCAUUACUGGUCGUCAUUUGUUUGAUAAUUUUAAAUCAUGGCCUAUUUUAUGUAGUCCUAAAGGAUAUAAUCUGCUAAGAAAAAAAAUGAUAAAUAUUAAUUUUUUGAAGAUUUUUUUAUGAAAUACUCAGAAGCAAAAAACUAUUAUCAUAUUUGGCUAAACUUUAUUAAAAAGUGGAUUUUCUUACAAAAAUUAAUUCAUAAAAUAUGUUAUUUUACUGGAUACUAGAACAAGCAACACAUUGAAAAUUCUACUGAUUCCAUAACUAGUACUAACUAAAACUCAAAUGAAAACAAACAAAAAGUCUGGGAAAUCAUCACUAGUUGAAUGUGUUUCAUCUUUUGUUAUAAAUGUUUCAGUAGCUUAUUAUAAAUAUAUGAAUAGAUACACACCUUUAAGUUCAUAAUUCAUUAAGUAUUUUAGUUUUAUAUGAACUUAAACUUGUGUCACAUUUAUAUGUUGUAUUGAAAUUAUUUAUAUAAAUAUUCAUUUUCAGAAUUUAAAUGAUUCAGAAUUCAAAAUAAUUUACCUGACUUAACUCCAACUAUUAAAAAGUUUUGGGUACUGGUAAAAUCUAUUAGACUCUUAAAUAUAUUUUAUAAUUGUUAUAUAGUUGUAUAUUUAAAAAUGUAUAUCUUAUUGUUUAUUAAUAAUAUACAGCAUGACAUUAACUUAAUUUUAUUGUAAUUAAUUUGUGAAUGUAUUUUGUACAUACAAUUUUAACAAAGUAAUGAUUCUAUUAUGUUAUGUAAUAAUCUAUAUUAAAUAUCUAUAUUAAAAUAUCUUUACUACCCCAAUCCAACCUAUUAUUAUUAUCUAAUAAAGUUUCCUUUUCUAGUUUAACUAAAUGGAUGUUUCUAUAUUUGUAUUUCUAUGUAAAAUUUAGUUUAUAGAUAUGUUAUAAUUUUGGCUUUGACACCAUUCAGAAUUAAACAACAAAAUAAGUAUUUGUUAAGUAUUGAUAAUGGUAACAUUUUCUGAAAUACAUAUUUGUAAAUUUUUGUGGC